GACCAAUGCGCCAUCCUGCCCAGUGGUUCUUUGAUGCCUGUCGAUAGCGCUGCGUGAUGAUGUCAUACGGCAGAGAGCAUGGGAGGGUGGAAUGAUCAAAGGAAAGAGGAGGGAUGAAGACACGGGAGAGAAUAUCCAAGACAACAACGGGACAAAGAUGGCGACUGCUCCUGCAAUGGGACGUCCACUGGCGUCCAGACUGCCGCAUCGCCUCUCGGAACCCCGGAUGACCAUCGUGCGCUAUCACCCCCUUUCCUUUGACGGGAUGACCACCAGCAUGACGCGCUGGAACCGCCGAGCCGACCUCCGCCACCACCACCACCGCUACGCUAGCACGAUUACCAUGGAAGAACAGUUCAUCCAGGACUGGACCGGGUCAAGAACGCCUGAACCGCCAGAUCUCACAUUGGUCAGCUAGCCUGAAUAGCAUGAGGCAUGCCACUGGCUGCAGAGUGACAGGAGGCAGGAUGUUCGGGUUGCGGCGCGGUGAUUUCUCUCCAUCCUGUCAGUCAUUCCGCCGGCUGAGGUCUCCGUUGAACUCCUCACCUGUCCGCAGGUAAGUAAUUCCUUCAAGUCUUCGCGACAGUUGCUCAGUGACAUUGUGGUUUUGAUUAACAAUGAUCUAACAGGCACAGAGGCUGAAGAGCAGCAAAGUAAAAUCAGCCUGAUGUGUAUUCUGUAAUGCUGAUUCUGUGUCGGACUAGUUGCAUUAUUUAAUUGUAUUAUAUUCUGGAUCCUAAUCAAAAUUCGGCAAGCUCUUACAAACCACUCUGUUUAUUCAUUCAUUGUUGUAAUGUAUUUUAUUGUUUAUGACAUUUUUUUCCCCUGUAGCACAAGCCUGUAAUUACCGCAUAUUGCCGCUAGUGGCGCUGUUGGGCGUUUCGUUAUCGUGACAUAGAACUGGUACAAAUAGAAUCAGAAAAUGACUUUGGUUUACGUUCUAAAAUAAACAAAAAACAACGCAAACAAACCUCAAACAAAAAAAAAUCCCCAAACUCAAACAUUUGGGCAAUAUUCCAUUCACAAUACGUUUAUUUACUGCAACCAUGCGUUCAAUGUGCUUCCGACUGUACAUAUAAAUAAACAUGCAUUUUAUUUUUCUAUUAGCGUGCAAGUGUUUAAAUAUUCAAACGUAUCUUUAAAGUUGGCAAUGAAUCUAAAAAAACCAUUGCAACAGAAAUGUGUGUAACUAAUUAUAUAGCAGAGUUACUUGGCAUUAAAAAUAAUGUAUCUGAAUGUUACGUUUGGAUGUACAGUUGGGACACUUAUUGCUCGUUAGUUAUAUAAGAAUGCUAAAACUUAACGUGUUUUCAUUGGGCAAACUUUAAAAAGUUGACUUGUUGCUUUAUAAAACGAACGCGUUUGAUUUAUUGGCAAGGAUUGAACACGUCGGACCGAUUCUCUUUGUUUUGGUUCUACGCAUCAUACAGACGUCGGCGUGCGCGCACGUACUCUGUCUCUGUAUUAUUGCCCAGAAACCAGCCACCAUGGGGAGUUAGGGGG
rnacentral:lncRNA from 1 species